UUAACUUAAAUUUGUAUGGAGUUGGAUCGUUUGCCUGCGUUUGCCGCUAGGGGCGUUGUUCCAAUUCCAUACAAGUUACAAGCG
rnacentral:pre_miRNA from 1 species